CCACCAAAGCAGUCCUGGACUCUUGGUGACCUUGGCUCAUCAUCUUUCAGUGACUGUGCAGUCAUGAGUAACUGAUGUGGGCACACGUGCCUAAGGACAUUGGACAUGUCUGCCCAGCACCCUCUUAAGUCAACACUCUCCCUGAAACUGUUCUUGGUGACUCAGGAAGGCAAAAGAUUUAGUAUUGCAAUCAGGAAAAAAUAAAUUCCUCCUCUGUUGCAUCUAUUUGGACACGCUGGACAGGAUGACCUGGGAGGUAAUAGCAACCUUUCCUACAGUUCAUGUUAGUAUAAACAGUAGGUGCAUUUGAAGGACUCCUCCAUAUACACAUUCUCAAAGGUAAAUCUAAGUGAGGCUUAGACAAACAGAAGGCAGUGGCUAUGCUUCCUUUGAGAUUGAAAGACCACCCUGGUCUCAAACAGGAGGUCAAGUUCUAUCACUUGUCCACUGAUUGGUGUCUCUGUUUGGGGUGAGGAAUGGUAAUUUGCAAGAUAGCAGCAGCUUGAUGUUGGCAAUUCUGUUGAGGAAAAAUAUUAGCUAAACUAAUAUUUUAGUGUUAUAUUUUGUGUUUGUAAUAUUUUGUGUUUCUUUUUGAGCAAUAUCAUCCUCUGCUCUAAAGAAAAAUGAUGAGUAUAAGGGAGAGUUCAGAAAUAUCUCAGAGCCAUGGUGAAAGUGAAACACAAAUGUACUUGCAUUUGAGAACCAAAGACCUGGUUUGUUAGCCUUAUUUUGAAUUUCUCUGUGAUAUGGGGCACUCACUAUACCUAGUUGCAACUGAAUACAGAUACUGACAAAGACCACUGGGAGAAGAAGCCAAGACUUUUUAUGUUGAAUAUGUUAUAUGGCUUAAUAAGAGUGAAUGGGGAUUUGUACCAGCAGGUAUUACUUGUGGUCUAACAAGACAGUUUCCCUAAGAAACUGAAAUUUAUUGAAACAGGCUCUGAAUAAUUUCUUAUUUUCUGUGUUUCUCAGAUAGCUUAUCCCUUUCCUUUUUAGCAGCCAUGAUUAUUCUACAGAAAAUAAUUGACAACAUAUACCAAAUACUUUUAGCUCCAUUAUGAGGAGUCAACAGCAGAUUUAAUCACAAACCAGAGUACUAAUUGUAAGACUAAUUUUUACAUAAAUGCUGGAUCUUCCAUAAGAAUAAGCUACUCAUUCUUAUGUUUACUUCUACUUGGGUGAGAGAGGAAAAAAGUAAGUUUCAAGGUCUUUGGAGGAGGGAUGCAGGGACAGAAUAAUGAAAGAUAAGUGCAUAGUAGUGUAUUCCUGAACGUGAGUUCAAGAGCAAAUGCCUCCUCUUUGGGAAAAGCUCCUACUUGGGAGGGUUUUAAUAUCUUGUGGUUUCAAUCUCUCACAUUUUACUGAACUAUGUCCUUAUUAGGGUCUCAAAUUUCCCGGGCACCACAAGGCUACCCCGGCUCAGAUUUAAUCAGCAGCAGACAUCCAUCAAGAGGACGGAAGGGCCAUCCCUGCCCCCUCGGAGCCCUCCCAUUAAUGAAAUAUUCACCAAGAAAACAGUGCCAGAAUGCAAACAAACAGUAUUGACCAUAUCCUUGCCCCACUUCUAACCUCCUGUGAUCCUUGGCUUCUGUUCAGUAAUUGUAUUUAUUUUGAUUUCAUUAAAAAAUGUGAGAGAUGGAAUUUCACUUAGGCCUGAAGUUCAAAGAUUUAUAGCCCAGAUAUACCAGAGAGAAUUGUCUCAGAGUCUGUAUCAGUUUGGGGUUAGAUGCCCUCAUCUACUUGGGAUGUUUUCCUGCAAGAGGAGUAACAAAUGUUCCUCGUACUUUCUCAGCAAUUUACAAACAAUUUAGAAGAUACUAUCACCAUCAUCUUUCUCAUCUGAUCUCAAUAAUUGUGCAUUAGGUGUGGUCAGUCUCGUUUUACAAAUCUCAUCUUCUCAUUUCUCCAGAUUUGUGGGAUUAAAGGUAAAAUGCUUCAGACGUAUCACAGAUUGAAAUAAGCAAUUUAUUCCAUUUAUUGACAUCCACAUGAUCCAAGUGCCAGGCCCACAGAUGUAAAGAUGAGCCAUAGUCCCAGAAGUGUCAUGGAUAUUACAUGUGUCAGGGAACACAUUCAAUUUUCACUAGUACAAUUUAAAUCAUGAGUCCAAUUAGAAAAUAAUUCACAAGUCUGUGUCACUGGACAUUGUUUAUUUAUUUACUUAUUUUGGUCUUUUUGUCUUUUUUUAGGGCUGCACCCGUGGCAUAUGGAAGUUCCCAGGCUAAGGGUCCAGUCGGAACUGUAGCUGCUGGCCUAUGCCAGAAGCCACAGCAACGCGGGAUCCGAGCCGCGUCUGCAACCUACACCACAGCUCACGGCAACGCCGGAUCGUUAACCCACUGAGCAAGGGCAGGGACCGAACCCGCAACCUCAUGGUUCCUGGUCGGAUUCGUUAACCACUGCGCCACGACGGGAACUCCUAUUCCAAACUUCUAAAGAGAGAUGAGAAAACUUGAAGUUUGGAAGUUUAGUACAUAACCAAAAUGGAGGAGAAUCACGAUUACAUGACCAAGAGCCCCUUUUUAGCUUAGUGAUCAGCAGAUCUGACUGAUAAGUCAAGAGCAUAGGACAGAAAAGCUGAGAUGAGACACUAAGCAUAUCCUCCAGGAACAGGAGCAAGUCAUGUGCUAUGCAGAGACAUGGAUUGAAGACGCCGAGUUUAGAGAACAUAUAUUGAAAAUGAGGACAUAUGGAAAGGAAGCCAUGUGCACCCACAAAGCUGGUCAAGUUCAGUGAAGUCAGUAUUUCAAGUUUGUAUGUGUGUGUCUUGACAGAGUGCCUCAGCUUCCAACAGAGUGCCUGGUGCAUAGGGGCACUUGGUAGCAUUUGCCAGGAGAUAAUACACUGCAGAUGAGUUCCAGGGCAACUGAAUUGCUGGGGCAUCUAGGUCAGAGUGUUUUCUCAAUAAAAGUAGGGUAUUUAAUUUUCAAGUCUUUCUUCAUUAUGGAAGUCUGACUGACACAUUGCAUGAUAAUCAUACAAUAUAACAGCUGUUAUUAUAAUGCUCUUCUUCAGUGUUUUUUUGCCUUUUCUUUUCAUCAUGAAUUGAAAGCAAAAUCCCUAAAGGUAACCUCAGUGAUUUUUUUCCUCUUUCUCUCCUUUGAUUCAUGCUGAGAACAGCUCUGACGUUCAUUGUGGAGGGGAUUGGUUCCCAUUUCCUCUUCCUAUUUUCAUCAGAUGAGGACAAUUUUUAAAGUCCUUAAUUGUUGAGAGUGGGCAUGGUAUUAGCACCAAUUUAUGACUUUAUCCUAAUGCGUCCCAUAUUUAGAGUGACAGACUCUGUGAGAUUUAAGAUUGUGAGACAUAAACAAGGGUGCCAGAGUUAUUUAUGGAGAUGGUCAAUGUCAUCACCCCAUGAUGCCUUCAAAAUUGAACUCACAGCUUUCAGCUAUGAUGAAAUGGCCUCAUUGUUUCUUUCUCUCUUGACGUAUCUGACAAUUCUUCCAUCAUCCUUCUCAUAUAAGAGCUUUAUAAGUAAUUAAAUAGAUGCAAGAGCUGACACUUUAAGGGGAAAAAUCAACCACAAUUAUAUGGAUAUACUUGGCAAGUAUAAAUGAAGGGAAAAAAA
rnacentral:lncRNA from 1 species